CCUACGGGAGGCAGCAGUGGGGAAUAUUGGUCAAUGGACGAGAGUCUGAACCAGCCAAGUAGCGUGAAGGAUGACUGCCCUAUGGGUUGUAAACUUCUUUUAUAUGGGAAUAAAAUGUUCCACGUGUGGGAUUUUGUAUGUACCAUAUGAAUAAGGAUCGGCUAACUCCGUGCCAGCAGCCGCGGUAAUACGGAGGAUCCGAUCGUUAUCCGGAUUUAUUGGGGUUAAAGGGAACGUAGGUGGAUUGUUAAGUCAGUUGUGAAAGUUUGCGGCUCAACCGUAAAAUUGCAGUUGAAACUGGCAGUCUUGAGUACAGUAGAGGUGGGCGGAAUUCGUGGUGUAGCGGUGAAAUGCUUAGAUAUCACGAAGAACUCCGAUUGCGAAGGCAGUUCACUGGACUGCAACUGACACUGAGGCUCGAAAGUGUGGGUAUCAAACAGGAUUAGAUACCCGAGUAGUC
rnacentral:rRNA from 1 species